rnacentral:rRNA from 1 species
GACGAACGCUGGCGGCGUGCUUAACACAUGCAAGUCGAGCGGUAAGGCCCUUUCGGGGGUACACGAGCGGCGAACGGGUGAGUAACACGUGGGUGACCUGCCCUCAGCUCUGGGAUAAGCCUGGGAAACCGGGUCUAAUACUGGAUAUGACUCCAUGACGCAUGUUGUGGGGUGGAAAGCCUUGUGCGGCUGAGGAUGGGCCCGCGGCCUAUCAGCUUGUUGGUGGGGUGANGGCCUACCAAGGCGACGACGGGUAGCCGGCCUGAGAGGGCGACCGGCCACACUGGGACUGAGACACGGCCCAGACUCCUACGGGAGGCAGCAGUGGGGAAUCUUGCGCAACGGGCGAAAGCCUGACGCAGCGACGCCGCGUGA